GUCCAGCCUGCCCGGUGACAAAGUUUAACGGCCGCGGUACCCUAACCGUGCGAAGGUAGCAUAAUCACUUGUUCUUUAAAUGGGGACUAGUAUCAACGGCAUCACGAGGGUUUCACUGUCUCCUUUCUCCAAUCAGUGAAACUGAUCUCCCCGUGAAGAAGCGGGGAUUUUUAUAUAAGACGAGAAGACCCCAUGGAGCUUUAAGCCCAACAACAACUUUACAAAAAUAUUUCCUCAUAACCUUAAGGUUUGGUCUGUUGGCUUUAGGUGGGGGUGACCGCGGAGUAUAAAAUAACCUCCACGACCAAUGGGUUACAACCCCUUAUCCAAGAGCUACUGCUCUAAGAAUCAUUAACUGACCUAAAAUGAUCCAAUUAUUGAUCAACGACCAAGUUACCCUGGGGAUAACAGCGCAAUCCAUUUCAAGAGCUCCUAUCGACAAGUGGGUUUACGAMCUCGAUGUUGGAUCAGGGUAUCCUAGUGGCGCANCCGCUACUAAAGGUUCGUUUGUUCAACGAUUAAAACCCUACGUGAUCUGAG
rnacentral:rRNA from 1 species